rnacentral:rRNA from 1 species
UACGUAGGGUGCAAGCGUUGUCCGGAAUUAUUGGGCGUAAAGAGCUCGUAGGCGGUUUGUCGCGUCUGCUGUGAAAACUCGGGGCUUAACCCCGGGCCUACAGUGGGUACGGGCAGACUAGAGUGCGGUAGGGGAGACUGGAAUUCCUGGUGUAGCGGUGAAAUGCGCAGAUAUCAGGAGGAACACCGGUGGCGAAGGCGGGUCUCUGGGCCGAUACUGACGCUGAGGAGCGAAAGCGUGGGGAGCGAACAGG